ACCUUGGCUCUAGACUGCUUACUGCUUAAAACUCAUUGUAACAGUCUACAGUCAUGGCU
ensembl:miRNA MIR212 microRNA 212